GUGAACGCUGGCGGUAGGCCUAACACAUGCAAGUCGAACGGCAGCACAGUAAGAGCUUGCUCUUACGGGUGGCGAGUGGCGGACGGGUGAGGAAUACAUCGGAAUCUACUUUUUCGUGGGGGAUAACGUAGGGAAACUUACGCUAAUACCGCAUACGACCUACGGGUGAAAGCAGGGGAUCUUCGGACCUUGCGGGAUUGAAUGAGCCGAUGUCGGAUUAGCUAGUUGGCGGGGUAAAGGCCCACCAAGGCGACGAUCCGUAGCUGGUCUGAGAGGAUGAUCAGCCACACUGGAACUGAGACACGGUCCAGACUCCUACGGGAGGCAGCAGUGGGGAAUAUUGGACAAUGGGCGCAAGCCUGAUCCAGCCAUACCGCGUGGGUGAAGAAGGCCUUCGGGUUGUAAAGCCCUUUUGUUGGGAAAGAAAAGCAGCAGGUUAAUACCCCGCUGUUCUGACGGUACCCAAAGAAUAAGCACCGGCUAACUUCGUG
rnacentral:rRNA from 1 species